CAAUUCUGAAGAGGAUGUGAAUUGCUUGGUUUAAUCCACAGUGAAGAUGGUGGUGACAGGCCUCAGGCUGAAGACCCAGCGCUGGGAGGGCAGCCAAUACAGAAUUAAUGCUGCUCAGCUUCCCUAGUGAGGUCUGCACUAAUAUGUUGAUUUUUAAAAAGCAUACUACUCUAAAAGAGCGAAGUAAUUGAGACUCACAAGGUCUGCGCUGCAACAGAAGAUCCCUGGAUUCUCUCAAACUCCCUGGAGAACGAUUGGCAUUCACUGGCAACCAGUCUUGUUGCACAGGAACUAGCAACAAAGAAGAAGGACCCUAUAGUCUACGACUCGGGUACAUUUACUUGGAGAGAAAUUUUUCAAUGCUCUGCUAAGUAA
rnacentral:lncRNA from 1 species